rnacentral:rRNA from 1 species
GCCCCGGUCGUAGUAACGACCGUCCAGCCUGCCCAGUGAUAACAUUCAACGGCCGCGGUAUCUUAACCGUGCGAAGGUCGCUUAAUCACUUGUUCUUUAAAUGGGGACUCGUAUCAACGGCAUCACGAGGGUUAUACUGUCUCCUCUCUCCAAUCAGUGAAACUGAUCCCCCCGUGAAGAAGCGGGGAUCUAAUUAUAAGACGAGAAGACCCCAUGGAGCUUUAAACCCAAUUUGCACCCCUACCCCACCUCAAACAUCAACUAAACCUCAGGGGCCUGUACAUUGGUUUUAGGCUGGGGGGACCACGGAGCAAAAUAAAACCUCCAUAACAAAUGGGCUAGCACCCUUAUCCAAGAUUUACAAAUCCAAGAAUCAUUAAAAUGAUGUUUAAUGACCCAAUAAUUUGAUCAAUGAACCAAGUUACCCUGGGGAUAACAGCGCAAUCCACUCCAAGAGCCCGUAUCGACAAGUGGGUUUACGACCUCGAUGUUGGAUCAGGGUAUCCCAGUGGUGCAGCCGCUACUAAGGGUUCGUUUGUUCAACGAUUAAAACCCUACGUGAUCUGAGUUCAGACCGG